AUUGAACGCUGGCGGCAGGCCUAACACAUGCAAGUCGAACGGUAACAGGAAGAAGCUUGCUUCUUUGCUGACGAGUGGCGGACGGGUGAGUAAUGUCUGGGAAACUGCCUGAUGGAGGGGGAUAACUACUGGAAACGGUAGCUAAUACCGCAUAACGUCGCAAGACCAAAAAGGGGGGCCUUCGGGCCUCUUGCCAUCGGAUGUGCCCAGAUGGGAUUAGCUAGUAGGUGGGGUAACGGCCCACCUAGGCGACGAUCCCUAGCUGGUCUGAGAGGAUGACCAGCCACACUGGAACUGAGACACGGUCCAGACUCCUACGGGAGGCAGCAGUGGGGAAUAUUGCACAAUGGGCGCAAGCCUGAUGCAGCCAUGCCGCGUGUAUGAAGAAGGCCUUCGGGUUGUAAAGUACAUUCAGCGGGGAGGAAGGGAGUAAAGUUAAUACCUUUGCUCAUUGACGUUACCCGCAGAAGAAGCACCGGCUAACUCCGUG
rnacentral:rRNA from 1 species